GGCAACCUGCUCGGGUCCUCUUCUAGGGUGUGGAAGGUUUGUUCUUUUGCUCUUGGUACUGCUCACUGUUUGGGUCCAUGUUGCUUUUAUGAGCGGUAAAACUCACCGUGAGGAUCUGCAGCUUAACUCCUGAGCCCAGUGAGAGCACGAGCCCACGGGAAGGAAUGAACAACUCCAGUCACGCUGUCUUAAGAGUUGUAACUCCGCAAAGGUUUGCAGCUUCACUCCUGAGCCAGCAAGACCAUGAACCCACCAGAAGGAAGAAACUGGGAACACAUCUGAACAUCAGAAGGGACACACUCCAGAUGUGCCACCUUAAGAGCUGUAACACUCACCACAAGGGUCUGUGGCUUCAUUCUUGAAGUCAGUGAGAUCAAGAACUCACCAAUUCUGGACACACUGUGACCCCACCCACCUAGCAAUUGACUCAGCACUGGAAGACAGUUUUGACACACCUGUGAUUUCAUCCCUGACUCAACCAAUCAGUAAUAGCCGUUUCCUAACUGCUGCCCACCAAACUGUCCUUAAAAACCCUAUCCUCCAAAUUCUUGGAGGCAGAUUUAAGAAAUAUCUCCCAUUUUCUUGCUCAGCUGCCUUGCAAUUAUUAAACUGUUUCUUUGUUGCAACACCUUCUGUCUCAGUGUAUAUUGGCUUUUUCUUUGCAACAGGCAAGAAGAAUCCACUGGGCUGUAACAUCCUUGCCCGCAUUUGGUGAUGUCAUUUUUUAUUUUAGGCAUUCUGAUAGUACAUAGUGAUAUUUCAUUUAAAUUUAAAUGUGUGGUUUCCUAAUAGCUAAUGAUGUUGAAUGGCUUUUUGUGUGCUUAUUUGAUGCUAUCUGUAUAUUCCUUUGGGUGAAAUGUCUCUUCAUAACUUUUGCCUAUUUUCUAAUUGGAUUGCUUGCUUUUUUAUUUUGAGUUUUGAGAGUUCUUUGUAUUUUUCAGCUACAACUUCUGUGUUGGAUAUGUGGCUUGCAAAUAUCUUUUUUUUUUCUUUUUUAAGACAGGGUCUCACUCUGUCAUCCAGGCUAGAGUGCAGUGGUGUGAUCAUGGCUAACUGCAAUCUCCACCUCCUGGGCUCAAGUGAUUCUCCCACUUCCAGUGAUUCAGCCUACUCAGUAGCUGGGACUACAGGCAUGCACCACCAUGUCUGGCUAAUUUUUUGUAUUCUUAGUAGAGAUGGGGUUUUGUCUUGUUUCCCAGGUUGGUCUCAAAUUCCUGGACCCAAAUGAUCUGCCCUACUUGGCCUUCCACAGCUGCUGGGAUUAUAGGCGGUUAGUAAAUAUCUUC
rnacentral:lncRNA from 1 species